CUGAAUUCUGCUGGCCUAGCUAGUUUUCUCUUGAGGCACUGGCAAAGGAUUUCAGAAUGUACCUAACUGAAAGGUGACAGCACUCGAAUUCACAAAUAGAAGACACGUUGGCUGUUAAUCCUUUUUCAGGCUGAACGGUAUCACCUGACUCCAUCAAAGCUGUCGCCUGGGGGCCCCUAGGGAGGUUUCAAACUAUCGACAUAAAGGGACGUACUUUGUCUUUGAUCUGUUUUACUUGUUAUCUAAAAUAAGAUUCUCUUGCUUUAAAGUAUUUGCAAUUCUGAGCGCAUUUGGCGUGUGAAAUUGUGGCCUGUUAAUGUGUCCAAGCAGAUUCACUUGCAUAGUGUGAGAAGAGCCCACUGCAUUCGGGUCACAGCUGAGAGAUCCUAUCCGGACGCUGGUCCGUGUUUCGUGCAACAUCCUUCUGACUGCUGUGUAGGAUGAAACCAUGCAGCAAGACAGUCCUGUAUGUGCUGCUCACAUCACUGAACAGCUGGCCAAAAAAUUUGCUAUUCGGUCAGGAGGCCGAGGAGCAGAUGGCUGUCCAAUAAUAACCUUUCCUGAAUAUUCAAAUUUCACUGAUGUCCCUGAGGAGGAAUUGCAAACUGUUAUAACAUAUCUAACUAGUAUUCCCAGGUAAGA